rnacentral:SRP_RNA from 1 species
CAUUGGUGAGCCGUGCUUGGAGGCCUGUGGCAGUGGAGGUUGGUGUGCUUGGUGCGGCAUUCGAAAGGCAUGCUGCCAGGCUGGCAAUGGAGCCAAGGAAUGUGUGGGCGC